UACAGGGGGUGCAAACGUUGCUCGGAAUUAUUGGGCGUAAAGCGCGCGUAGGCGGCUACUUAAGUCGGAUGUGAAAGCCCCUGGCUCAACUGGGGAAGUGCACCCGAAACUGACUAGCUUGAGUGCAAAAGAGGGCCGCGGAAUUCCCGGUGUAGAGGUGAAAUUCGUAGAUAUCGGGAGGAACACCGGUGGCGAAGGCGGCGGCCUGGGUUGACACUGACGCUGAGGCGCGAAAGCGUGGGGAGCAAACAGG
rnacentral:rRNA from 1 species